UACGUAGGGUGCAAGCGUUAAUCGGAAUUACUGGGCGUAAAGCGUGCGCAGGCGGUUUUGUAAGACUGUCGUGAAAUCCCCGGGCUUAACCUGGGAAUGGCGAUGGUGACUGCAAGGCUAGAGUUUGGCAGAGGGGGGUAGAAUUCCACGUGUAGCAGUGAAAUGCGUAGAGAUGUGGAGGAACACCGAUGGCGAAGGCAGCCCCCUGGGUCAAGACUGACGCUCAUGCACGAAAGCGUGGGGAGCAAACAGG
rnacentral:rRNA from 1 species